ACAAUACACGCACAAAUAAAAACUUAUUACUAUGAAAACUAUCUUGGAAAUUUGUGUUAAGUAUAUUGUUUGAUAUCAAAGAAUGUCAAUUUGGAUUUGUUAGGUUUUCUCAGCUUAAAUGGUUUAAACUUUCGAAUAAAAUGGCAUAUUCUCUUUUGUAGCUUUUUAUGUAGGUCAGAAGGACAGCAGAUCGAAAGUGAUGAUAAUAGCAUUUGCUAGUAGUUUAUCUACGGUAAUUGGAGUUCUGAUAAUUGGCCUCUGCUUCAUGAGAAAAUUGAGAUCCAUUAAGAUUAUUCAGUUUUCUAAUAAGGAAAGUCUAAUGCAUCAGAGUGUCGAGACCUUUCUAAGGAAUAAUGGACAUCUUUCAAUAAGAAGAUAUACUUACUCAAAUAUCAAGAAAAUGACCAACUUCUUCAAAGAUAAAUUAGGCCAAAGAGGCUAUGGUUGCGUCUAUAAGGGAAAGUUACAAGAUGGCUCUUUUGUAGCAGUGAAAGUUUU